UUAUUUUAAUGAUGUUAUUAAUUUUACAUUCUUAAAAAUUAUUAUGUAUUCUAGAUCCAAAAAUGAAUAAAUGUCUAUUAUUGAAUUAAGAUUUUGCGUUUAACAUAUAAUAGCGAUCUAAAGAAUCGAAUUAAUUUUACACAACAGACGAUAAAAUACAUAUGUAUCUGUCGAGAAAUCAGAAGUUCAAUAUGUAUGUCUGUAACCAUGGCAAUAACUGCUCUAUAUGAGAUUGUAUUUGUGUUCCUCAUUUGAUAUUUUUUCAAUCAUAGUUUAAAGGUGAAUUUUGACAAGAGUACCGAAUUAAAAACUAAUAAGGAUAUUAAAAAUAAAAGGAUAGCAUUAAAAGAAAUGUCAUUGGAAACUGAAGCUGGUAUAAAUAGAAUUUGCUUGUCAUUACAAGCUGAGAAUAAGGAAAGGAGAAAGCAUGCUUUAAAUGAAAUUAUAAAAACAAUAUUGGAAGGACAAGAAAUACUGGAUACUGAUGAUUUAUCACAAAUAUGGGAGAAUUUAAAUAGACCAUUGAUAAGAUUGUUAAAUGACCAAGCAGAAGUUUGUCGAGAUCGUGCUGUAGAAAUAUUAAAUAAGUUUUUGAAUUUGUUGCCUCCACAUGACAAGCAUAUUAUCUACGUGAUUCCGGUGUUGUCAAGACGUUUAAGUCCAGAAGAAUAUAUAGAACCGUCAGAAGAAGUAAGGCUAAAAUGUAUUGCUCUCUUAAAAGUCAUUAUUUUAAAAUAUAAAGACCAUAUAUCUGUAUACAUGGAUGAAAUAAUAGGAAUUCUUGCAAGAACUGUUAGGGAUAAUUAUCCUAAUGCUAAAAGAGAAAGUUGCGAGUGUAUAUCAGAAUUAGGAAAAAUUGUACCUAGGCAUUUUUAUACCUAUUCUGAAACUCUUAUAAAGCCAAUUUUAAGUAAUUUUAGUCAUCAACACUAUAGAGUCAGAGUAGCUUCUGUUAAAACAAUAGGCGAUGUGAUUCAAUAUGGUAAUAGCAAAUCUAUGGAAGAAGUUGCAACACCUUUAGCUGAAAGACUGUUCGAUCAAAGUGGAGUUGUUAGAGCAGCUGUUGUCGAAGUAGCAGGACAUUGGCUUGUUGAAUUAAGAGAUAGAUACAGCUGGUGGCACAAAAUUCUUCCACUUAUUUUAACGGGUCUUCAUGACGAAAUAGAAACAAUACGCAUUACAGCAGCAAAAAUGUGGGAUGAAGCAGGUCAAUUAUAUAUGAAAGAAAAUCAAAAUGAUGAAAAGUUUAAAGACAAAAUGGAUUUUCUUACAGAGGAACCAAAACAUUAUCCACCUAAUAUUACCAGACCAAACUUAGGAUGUCGUACUAUUGCUCAAGAAAAUUUAUGCAAACUUAUAAAUGGAAUAACACGUGAACUUUCUGAUUGGAUGGCUGAUAUAAGAGUUCGUUCUGCACAAUUACUUUGUGUCUUAAUACUUAACAUAGAACAAUAUGUAACUCAGCAUAUAGAAAAAUUGUUACCGGCGAUAUAUAGUGCUUGCAAUGAUGAAGAUAAAAGAGUUGUGGAUAAUAUAGAAAUUGCAGCAGAAUAUUUAGGAUACUUUGUACCUCCACAGAUCUAUUGCCAUUUAGCAUUGCCAACAUUGGAAAGUUCACCUACGGCAGGUCAUCUAAGAGCAUUUUCUGCUAUCAUAAGAUGUACUGAAAAAAGUAUUCUUCUACCUCAUAUAGAAAAAAUCAGCAAUUUUUUACAACAGUCACAUAUUUGUCGCAGCAAGAAAAGUAUCUAUCAGCAACAACUUUUAUCUUGCUGUAAUUCCAUUAUAACAGUAUGCAACGAGGAAUGUGUCCUUAUUUCUCAGAAUUUAUUUACUGUCAUAUUUACUAGUUUGGCUAUGAGUACCGAGAAGUUUAUUCACGAAGAAGCAGAUCGAUUAUUCGGUGUGCUUGCAACUAUAGAAUCGUUAAAAGAUACAGAAGAUGUAUUUCUCCAUCAUAUGAAAGUAAUGCUAAUGUCAAUUUGUGAUAACUGUGAUUCAUGGACAGCUCACAGUCCAGAACAUCAAAUAUUUCGAACAUGCUUAAUACGUGCUUCGACCGCUGCUGCUCAUUGUACGAGUAUUGUACUACCAAUACUACAGGAUAUUAUGAGCAAAAAUACAGACAUGGAGUUGAGAUUGUUAUAUUUAAUAUUACUAUCUGAAUAUUUGUUAUGCAACAAGCAGUCACUCCAAUGCAUUGUUGAUUUUCAUAAAUUUGUAAAUCAAAUUUUAGAAAUAUGCAUUAUCCCUAAUCUUAUUUGGUCAGCAGGUAGAAUAUCUGAAGCUUUGCGUACAGCUUCCAUUUCAUGUUUAUGUGCUCUUUUACAAAAUGACACUCUUUCCACACAUAUUAAGGAUUCUGUUACAAUUGCAAAGGAAGAAAUUAACAACGAAACGAACGAAUGUAAUAUCACAAUAUUUUCUACCGUAGAAAACUAUUUAUCUGUUUUCGAAAGAGUUAUUCCUAUUUUGAUUACGCUUGUUGAUGAUAAUGCAAGAAAAACUAGACUCUAUUCUUUGCGUGCUAUUUGUCUUAUGAUGUCAAUUGGACACAAGUUGUCCUGCAUAACAGAAGAUCAUAUUCAUAGAGUAUAUGCAGUUGUAUUGAAAAGAUUAGAUGAUGGUUGCGAUGAUAUAAGGUGGGCAGCUCUAGAGGCCCUUGUAGAAAUAUGGUCUACUAUUCCUAAAGAUUACAAUUUAAUGUCUUGUAAGAGUUAUAUUGAUGUCCUGUAUACAACAGUGUUGAUACACUUGGAUGAUCCAGAGUCAAAGUUUCAAGAUUUUGUAUUAGAUGUAUUGAUGCAGUUGGCAAAAAUUUAUCCUGAAUUGUUGGUUGAAAAGUUAAAAAAUUGUCAAACAAAUUUUAGAAAUCAAACUGGUAUACAAAUACUCUUAAACCAUUGUCAUGAAACGUUAAAAAAUAUUUACUAAAUAUAUAUUGAAAGUAUAAUACUGCUUAAAUUUUAUCAAGGAUUAACGUUUAAAAAAUAUAUGUGAUUUAUGCAUAAUAAUAAAAUCUGGCACUUCAGGGAAGAAAGAAACAUAACCUCUUUCUAAAAGACAACAGGAAGUACCCGCCCUCCUGUUGCCGCCAUGUUGUUCGUAUCUUCCGCUUGCCAAAGCCCAAAGCUCGCGAGAAGAGGGGCAGAACAAAUAAGAUUAAUAUUCGUG